AACCAUAGAAACCUGCGGAGUACCUGCGGAAGGAUCAUUACAAGUGACCCCGGUUUACCACCGGGAUGUUCAUAACCCUUUGUUGUCCGACUCUGUUGCCUCCGGGGCGACCCUGCCUUCGGGCGGGGGCUCCGGGUGGACACUUCAAACUCUUGCGUAACUUUGCAGUCUGAGUAAACUUAAUUAAUAAAUUAAAACUUUCAGCAACGGAUCU
rnacentral:misc_RNA from 1 species